rnacentral:lncRNA from 1 species
UGUCUCUUUAUGGCAAAACAAAAUAUGGUUAUACCAGUUCGUAUUAAUGAUCUUGCUAUAUGAAGAAUACUAUAUAAUACUACUUGUAAGUUGUUCUCGCAUACAUUUACCUUUGGUGGUCUUUAAAAUCUGCUGCUGUCUUGAUUUAUUUCUUGCUUGUAUCCCUCGGUGUCUUAACAAUUCGACUCAUUUGUAAUAUUGACCCUAACGGUAUAAAUUUCACUGCCCCAUUUGUGCAUUUAAGCUAUUAAUGUCUAUUGAGUGAUGAUGGAGGCCAGAAUGUUUGAAAGUCCAAUUUUUGUACACAUUUUAAAUAGCUGAUAAAACCCAAAUAAUGCCAAAAGUAAAGUAUUAAGAAAUAAAUAA